rnacentral:rRNA from 1 species
AAUUNCGANCUGCGAAUGGCUCAUUAUAUAAGUUAUCGUUUAUUUGAUAGUACCUUACUACAUGGAUAACCGUGGUAAUUCUAGAGCUAAUACAUGCUGAAAAUCCCGACUUCGGAAGGGAUGUAUUUAUUAUAUUCAAAACCAAUGCCCUUCGGGGCUCCAAUGGUGAUUCAUGAUAACUUCUCGAAUCGCACGGCCCCGCGCCGGCGAUGGUUCAUUCAAAUUUCUUCCCUAUCAACUUUCGAUGCUACGGUAGUGUCCUAGCAUGGUUGCAACGGGUAACGGGGAAAANGUGAAUCAACCUUCGCCGGCGCGGGGCCGGGUAANANAGAAGUUANCUUGAGUCCCUUGGAGCCCCGAAGGGGUNGGUUUUGUNAAUAAAUAAUCCNUCGAAGUCGGGAUUUUGGGCUGUAUCUNAGAAUUANAGGUUUUCUGUGUAGGUGCUAUCAAUAAAGAUCNUUUUAAAGAGNAUUUUUGUUUGNUUGUUUUUGUUUNUUUGANUGCUGGCAUANUUUUGAGACAGCAUUNUCAUA